rnacentral:tRNA from 1 species
GGAGGAGGCCCAGCUGGGGGGCGGGCAUUAUUAAUGCCCGCGGAGGUUCGAAUCCUUCCCCCUCCG